rnacentral:misc_RNA from 1 species
AACUUGAUACUUGAUUGCCAGGAAAAAAGGGAAAGUUUAUGGGUUCACUAGAACACAGCUUCAAUCUAUGAGUCAACAUGAAAAAAACACAGAAAUCAAGGGUCGUUUAAUCCAUUUUUCCUAUCCCUAGUGAUCAAAUUAACUCAUGAAGCCAUAUUUUAAGGAACAGGACAUCCAUGGUAUUGCCACAACAGCUAACUCAAAAAAAGAAAGGCAACAGAAGACAAUUAACAUAAAUAUGAGGAUUCUAAAUUCAAUGGCUAUUCUCAAACCUACAGUCUAUGCUCCAGAGAGUUUUAGUCACAUCUCUAAGAAUGGUAAAGAGAGAAACACCCAUACAAGUUACAAAUGCAGCAUGAGUAUACUAGAUAUGUUUGCCACCUUAGACAGUAAUAAAUCCAAUUUUGGCAUAUUAACAACUAUGAAUGGCACAGGGAACACAAAUAAACUAUUACUUCAAAAAACUCAAAACUUCA